GGGGCUGAUUCUGGAUUCGACGGGAUUUGCGAAACCCAAGGUGCAUGCCGAGGGGCGGUUGGCCUCGUAAAAAGCCGCAAAAAAAUAGUCGCAAACGACGAAACCUACGCUUUAGCAGCUUAAUAACCUGCUUAGAGCCCUCUCUCCCUAGCCUCCGCUCUUAGGACGGGGAUCAAGAGAGGUCAAACCCAAAAGAGAUCGCGUGGAUGCCCUGCCUGGGGUUGAAGCGUUAAAACGAAUCAGGCUAGUCUGGUAGUGGCGUGUCCGUCCGCAGGUGCCAGGCGAAUGUAAAGACUGACUAAGCAUGUAGUACCGAGGAUGUAGGAAUUUCGGACGCGGGUUCAACUCCCG
rnacentral:tmRNA from 1 species